UACGUAGGGUGCAAGCGUUAAUCGGAAUUACUGGGCGUAAAGCGUGCGCAGGCGGUUUUGUAAGUCAGAUGUGAAAUCCCCGGGCUUAACCCGGAAAGGUCAAUCGAUACUGCGGGGCUAGAGUGCAGAAGGGGCAACUGGAAUUCUCGGUGUAGCGGUGAAAUGCGUAGAUAUCGAGAGGAACACCUGCGGCGAAGGCGGGUUGCUGGGCUGACACUGACGCUGAAGCGCGAAAGCGUGGGGAGCAAACAGG
rnacentral:rRNA from 1 species